rnacentral:lncRNA from 1 species
AGUAUCGAAGACACACACACACACACAUACCCCAGGUACAGUAUUGAAGACACACACACACACACACACACACACCCCAGGUACAGUAUCGAAGACACACACACACACACACACACACACACACACACACACACACGAGCCUGGAUGGUCCUGCAGUGAUGUUCACACUCUCUCUAGUGGUGACUCUGAGUACUACAUCCAAAACUGCAAGAAACUUUCCCCCCUCCCGGGAUGGGAGAACCAGGUCUCUUCAGAAACUUCCCACCACAGGACAGGAGAUAUGGCACAGUUCCUGCUCUCAAAGAGGUCACAGUUUAAUGGUGAUGGGUGCUAACAGGACAGAUGCGGGCAGAAAAUGACAAUAAAGCUAUGUGGGAGAACAGGGGAGAGUCCUAACUCAACUGGGCAGGGGGAAGUCUGGGAGGCUUCUCAGAGGAGGUGUUGAUUCAUCAGAAACAAGAGUAAGAGUUUGCUUGGUAAAGAAAGAAGCAACAGAAGGACAUUCCAGACUGGACAGAAUUAAGUGAGCUCAAAGGCAAGAAAUGAGACUGCUCAGGGAGUUACAAUUAGGUAGGUGUGCUAGGAAUGUGAAAUUUCAGAGGGGUUAGUGGCUAAAGAUGAAGAUGGCAAAGGCAGGCAUGGGUCUUGUCUACCAUGCACUCAAGCUGGGAUCCUAAGCCUUGGACAAUGGGGAGCCACUGAAGGGUUUUGAGCAGGUCAGAUUCACUUUUUUUUUUUUUUUUAGACGGAGUCUCACUGUUGCCCAGGCUGGAGUGCAGUGGUGCCAUCUCAGCUCACUGCAACCUCUGCCUCCCGGGUUCAAGUGAUUCUCCUGCCUCAGCCUCCCAAGUAGCUGGGACUACAGGCGGGAGCCACCACGCCUGGCUUAUUUUUGUAUUUUUAGUAGACACGGGGUUUUGCCAUAUUGGCCAGGGUUAUCUCGAACUCCUGACCUCAAGUGAUCCGCCCGCCUCGGCCUCCCAAACUGCUGGGAUUACAGGCAUGAGCCACUGCGCCCAGCCAGAUUCACUUUCAGAAGGAACUCUUUGGUGACAAUGGAGAGGAAAGAUAGGAGGCGAAGAGGCAGGAGACGGACACCCCUCUGGGACACAAAGAACCAUACCAGGUCACACUCAUAGGACACACAGCUUUGACCGCGCCUAUGAACCAGACAUAGCGAUACAAGUAAUGGCACCUACAGACGUGUCAGUGGGAUCCCAGGCUGAGCACCCACAGACAAACAUGCACUGCUUCACACUCAGACACAGAAGUCAGGCCUGCAAGCGAAAGCAAACCGAGGACACAGGGUUACCCCCCAGACACAGGCGCACAGCGGGAAUCACACAACCCUGACGGCCACAGGAAUUCACACACACUCAGUGUGGCUGUCAAGGGCCCGACCCUGCUCCCCCUCUGUCUCCCCCAGGUCCCUCACCACCUCCGGCAGGAACAAAGCUGACCUUUGCCCUCUGGCCUCUGGCCUCUCCUCCCACACCCCCUGCCCCAGAGGGAGGAGCUGUUUGAAGUCUGGGCUGCAGCUGGGGUUUCCUGUGGCCUAGAGGAAUGUGGGAGGACUUGCACGGGGGAGGGGAAAGGGGCUGGCCCAGGAGGAGGGCUAACAGAGCCUGGGGGCCUUAGUCCCCACUGUACCACAAUGAGGGAGGCUUCCUGCUUGCGUGGUCUCUUGGGCUCCAGCUUUGAGCUGUUCCCAUCCAAAGAAGGGGAAAACCAGGGCCAUAAUGGCUCCAGUCCAAUGGGCCUCUUGUUCCUGGAUCUGCAGCUCAAUAGCUUAGGAUAGGCCCGCAACCUCUCUAAGCCUCCGUCUCCCCUUCUGCAUACUGGGCUGAACCACCCUCUAGCAGUCCACACCUCUCCUGAGCAGCCCCAGGAGUAGGGCCACCCCCAGAACUUCCAUAUUCAGGGAGGGCCGUGCUAGUCCCUACCCAAGACUCACUUCAUCCUGCCCUUUCCAUGAGGUCUGGGGGCCUGGCUCCAGGCUGCUGGGACCUGUCAGUUAUUGUCAUUAUUAGUGUGACUCAUCAUCUCUCUCACCAUGCCCUUGCCAGUUUUCACAGUGCUUUUACAUCUAUAUGCUCAGUUAAUCUUCUCAACAGCUCUGCUUCUAUUUUACACAUGGGAAAACUGAGACUCACACAGAUUGAGGACACACAAGUAAAAUCAAGAUCAGGACCAGGCCUGUCUAGCUCCUGCUCCACAUGGCCUCUCAAACCCAAGGCCCCAUUCCAGACUCUCAUCUUUAUUUUCCAGGGUCUAGCUACACCACCUUCUGCUUACACCGAAACAAAAGCGGCUGGAGGGAGCUGAGCCCAGAGAGGGAUGAUGCAGGCUCUUCCAGAACCUGUGUCCUCUGCCUCAAGCCUUCUUUCCCUCCUGCUCGCUGACAACUGCUGAAGCAGAAACGAAGAUUAGACACUAGGUGGCAGCAGCAGCCCACGGGAAGACAACUUGAGUUUGGGGAGACCACCCCCCGCCAAACUCAACACAAUUUGGAGAGGCUCCACGAAAAAGACCAGCCCCCAAAUAACAGGGAGACUCUGCAAUGCUUGGUUUCCAGUGAUGAUCAACACUUUAAGGGCCAAUGGAAUUCACCCUCACAGGGGAAGGGGACCGCUGAAGUAGCCUGGGGUGGGAGGGGCAUGCUCGAGAAACCCUACCUAACUUCUAUUUCCCUCUAACUCAUAGAGCCAUGGGCCCUACUAAUCUUGCCCUCUGCAUCUCAUUACUUAACCUCCCCCUCCCAUGCUUUUCCCAAACUCCCCUUCAUCUCAACCUACUGGGGCUCUCCACACCCCAGAAACCAUCCUAUAUUAUCCCACCCAACUCCCUCCUAAAACUUGAUUCAAACUGAGUAGAGUCUUCAUGACUACAGGCAGAAUCUAAUGGGUAAUGGGGGAAGGGAGAGAAAGGAGGAGGAACCUGGGUCUCUUUCACCCUCCCCAACGCCGAAGUCUGUCUGUCCUAUAGGGGGCCAGCUAGGGCAAGGUGCCAAAGCCUCAUCUAUUUGGGAUCACUUCAGGCCCAGGCUUUGGAGCUGCAGAAUCUCUAAUGACUUUAGCCACUACUUUUAUGAGCAUCUGAC